rnacentral:pre_miRNA from 1 species
UAUUAAAAGUUUUAUCCAUUUGUAUUAUUAAAAAUUGGCGUGGCAUGCUAAGUGUACCUCAUGUUGAUUUACAGUGACCCGUUUUUAAUAGUAAAAAUGGAUGGAAUUUUUAACA